UUCUGUGACAGCCAAUAAAAAAAACUCCAAAAAGCAAAAUGGGCGUGGCUUGGAACAGCUGGUGGGGGUUAGUGCAAGGCGCUUUGAGUGUAGCGGUUCGUUGGGUGGUUGAUGGGGGAAACAACAACAAGCUACGCAUCAUGAGGGUCCCUGAAACACUGCUUUGGGCCUCUUUUCUCAUACAUAAGGUGGUGGGAGAGUACGGCAUGGCACAUUUCAGUGACAUGGGCAAGAACAAAGGGAAGGAUUACUGCAUAUUCUUCAACUCUCAGUGGGCCCGUCUACCUCAGGACCUCAACAAGGCAUCUCGUCUUCCGAUCUAUGACCUGACUUCAUCGGUCCUGUGCUCGCCCUCUGACGUCCCAGAGGGAGGAUUCCCAAAUCGCAUCCCCAUGGUGAUGAGAGGAAACUGCACUUUCUAUGAAAAGGUCAGACUGGCCCAGAUUAACGGAGCCAAGGGCCUGCUCAUCGUCAGCAAGGACAGACUGACACCCCCAGCAGGAAACAGGACUCAGUAUGAAGAGAUUGACAUUCCUGUAGCGCUGCUCAGCUACACUGAUAUGCUGGAGAUUAUCAAGAAAUUUGGUGAAGAAAGACAGGUCGCCAUGUACGCUCCCAGUGAGCCGGUGCUGGACUACAACAUGGUGAUCAUCUUUCUGAUGGCAGUGGGAACCGUUGCUAUUGGAGGAUACUGGGCCGGCAGCAGAGACACCAAGAAACGAUACAUGAAGCACAAGAGGGACGACGGAGCGGAGAAGCAGGACGAGGAGACGGUCGACGUCACCCCCAUCAUGAUCUGUGUGUUCGUGGUCAUGUGUUGCAGCAUGCUGGUGCUACUCUACUUUUUCUACGACAGCCUGGCUAUUUGGGUCAUAGCCAUCUUCUGCCUGGCCUCCUCUGUGGGCCUGCACAGCUGCCUGUGGCCUUUUGUCCGGAGAAUCCCUUUCUGCAAGUGCAGGGUCCCAGAGAACAACCUGCCAUACCUGCACAAGCGGCCGCAGAUCCGCAUGCUGCUGCUCACGGCCUUCUGCAUCGCUGUCAGCAUCACCUGGAUGGUGUUUCGCAAUGAAGACCAGUGGGCGUGGGUGUUACAGGACGCCCUAGGGAUCGCCUUCUGUCUCUACAUGCUCAAAACAGUCAGACUCCCCACAUUUAAGGCUUGCACCUUAUUACUGUCGGUUCUUUUUAUCUACGAUGUUUUCUUCGUAUUUAUUACACCCUUCUUUACAAAGAGCGGGGAGAGUAUUAUGGUGGAGGUAGCGACUGGUCCCUCCGACUCCUCACAUCAUGAAAAGCUCCCCAUGGUGCUCAAAGUGCCACGGUUGAACUUCUCUCCUCUGGCUCUGUGUGACCGGCCCUUCUCCCUCCUGGGCUUUGGGGAUAUCUUAGUACCAGGUCUGCUGGUGGUUUACUGUCACAGAUUUGACAUUUUAACACAAUCCUCCCGUAUCUACUUUGUGGCCUGUACUAUCGCGUACGGCGUGGGCCUGCUGAUCACCUUCGUGGCGCUGGCCGUGAUGCAGAUGGGUCAGCCGGCCUUGCUCUACCUGGUGCCUUGCACUCUGCUCACCAGCCUCAGUGUGGCGCUGUGGCGCAAGGAGUUGCCCCAGUUCUGGACUGGAAGUGGAUUUGUGGUGAAUACCAGUUUGAUAUGACCGCCUACUGCCGAAGAACAAAAAAACAUCAACACAAAAAAAAAUCUUAAGUUAAAAACAUGCAGAGUAAAGUAGAAUCUUAAGUUGAGUAACCCCUUUUAAUAAUACCAUCCGUGCUUCUGUUUACUGUCCCCUCCCUCCCAUCGCUGCUCCUUGCCCUUUAUUUUACUGUGGGUGUGCUGUAGUCUGCUGCUGAGGGCUCAGCUGUCUGUGAAUGUCACUGCAGCCUGCCAUAGCGCUCGCACCGAUCAACUGUACACAAUCUGCAGCACCGCCGACUGAGGAUCAUUUGAAUAAACCGGAGCCACAAACCACAGAAGAUGAUGAAGACUCACCCCAAUUACCGCCUCAGGAAACGGUCGGGAAACAAAUCUAACUGAAAGGACUUCGAGUACGGCAUUUUACAUUUCACUUCAUAUUUAAAAUGUGUGUUUUUAUUUUAUUUUUAUUUUUUAUAAAUUGUGUCUCAGUUAAUGGACAUUUCAAGUUCAGACAUUUAUUUGCACUCGGUGCGAACAGCGAUGGGAUCUGUGCUUUCUGAAGUCUCAGAAAAAAGACCAAAAAAACCCUACCUCCUUUUUAAAAAAGGGAAUAAAAGCCAAAUCUGGAAGCUACACAAGCUGUUACACUAAAGACUUUCAUGAGUCUUUGAGCUGAGGCUUUAGGCCGAACAUCUUCAGGCUCCAGCUUCUUAAUGUUGAGGAUUUUAAGGCUUUACAUACAAGUCAACUGGGUAUCUUUGAACUGCUAUUUGAAGGAAACAAAAAGUCAUUGCAGGCUUGAAAUCAUACUAAGCAUUUUAUAUUUUCUGACAUUUAAAAAAGGCAAUUCAAUAAUCAAUUGGAUAAAUGGCACAAUAAUCAAUAUAAAUAAUCUUUAGUUGCUAUCCUUAGGUAUACAGAUCAGCUGUGACAGAUUAGCACUAACAUGUUUAUCGCUGACUUGUGUAAAACUCUCCGAUGUGGUACGACCUUUAAAAGAUCACGGUAGGCUCGAAUGCAUUUUUUUCAAAAAAGCACACAAACACAAGUUAGUGUCCCUUAUCCUUUCAUUACAAACUAAGGUUUUAAAAUGGGGAGCUAAGGUUGUUAACUGAGCCAAAGCUAUUAGAUUGUUUUUGCUAUACUUUUUGUUUUGCAUGCUAUGGUUUUGUUUUUACCCUUCAUAAAAAAACACUGUAUAAUCUUAAGUGUAGACUGUAUUGGUGCUGCAACAGUUAAAAUGUCAACCAUUGCUUUUCUGUUCCCCCUAGUAGUCAUCCAUGUUGUCUUAAAAGAGUUGGUUUGGCCUUAUUGAGUCUGUCGGGAGGUAAAGAGGAAUGUGUAAAAGUUGCUUUAUGAUGAUGUGCUGCAGUUUGACGUACGAGUUGUAAAAAGCAUUUGCACAAUUUUUUUUUUUUUUAAUUCAUGGGAUGAGUGAAGCUGUUGCCUCAUGUCUGUAUAUGUAUUCUCAUAAAGGGUGAACCCAAGGUGUCAAUAUAUCCAAUACUCAUCAUAAUUUAGUGUUGGAAGUCAGAGGUGACAUCACUCUGUACACGAGUAUAAAUGUAUUUCUUAUCCAUUUACGAGGCCUAUUAAAACAAGUUCAACAUUCCUGUAAAGACGUUGAGGGAAGAAGUACAAAUCAUUUGGUCAGAUGUGAUAUUAGUUGUCUGGAUGUGUUUUCCAGGACAUCAGAUUAUUUAUUCACCAACAGUUUGUUGUCACCAAGUGGUUUUUAAAGCCUCUGUUGAGGAAUACAUAUAAUAAAGAUACAUUGUAUUUGGAA